GAUGAACGCUGGCGGCGUGCCUAAUACAUGCAAGUUGAGCGAACAGACGAGGAGCUUGCUCCUUUGACGUUAGCGGCGGACGGGUGAGUAACACGUAGGUAACCUACCUAUAAGACUGGGAUAACUUCGGGAAACCGGAGCUAAUACCGGAUAAUAUUUCGAACCGCAUGGUUCGAUAGUGAAAGAUGGCUUUGCUAUCACUUAUAGAUGGACCUGCGCCGUAUUAGCUAGUUGGUAAGGUAACGGCUUACCAAGGCAACGAUACGUAGCCGACCUGAGAGGGUGAUCGGCCACACUGGAACUGAGACACGGUCCAGACUCCUACGGGAGGCAGCAGUAGGGAAUCUUCCGCAAUGGGCGAAAGCCUGACGGAGCAACGCCGCGUGAGUGAUGAAGGUCUUCGGAUCGUAAAACUCUGUUAUUAGGGAAGAACAAACGUGUAAGUAACUGUGCACGUCUUGACGGUACCUAAUCAGAAAGCCACGGCUAACUACGUG
rnacentral:rRNA from 1 species